CCCUGCUGAAAGUCACCUGCAGCCUCACUCAUGGCCACGGGUGAGACUCCGCGCCCAGAGCAUGGGGGGCUUCAGCUCACCUCCCACUUCCCUGUGGGGAGGUGAAACCCAGGCCCUGACAGCG